GUGCCUGCUUGGGCUGCACAUAUACUGAAAUUGGUACCAUACAGAAAAGAUUAGCAUGGUCCCUGUCUAAGGAAGGCACAUACAUGUGAAAUGUCCCAUAUUUUU